UACGUAGGGUGCAAGCGUUAAUCGGAAUUACUGGGCGUAAAGCGUGCGCAGGCGGUUUUGUAAGUCUGACGUGAAAUCCCCGGGCUCAACCUGGGAAUUGCGUUGGAGACUGCAAGGCUGGAGUCUGGCAGAGGGGGGUAGAAUUCCACGUGUAGCAGUGAAAUGCGUAGAUAUGCGGAGGAACACCGAUGGCGAAGGCAGCCCCCUGGGUCGACACUGACGCUCAGGCACGAAAGCGUGGGGAGCAAACAGG
rnacentral:rRNA from 1 species